rnacentral:lncRNA from 1 species
UUAAAGAAAGCACUUUAUUUUCCAUUUAAGCAACUUGGUCACAGUACGUUAUUUUACAUAAAUGGCAGUAAUUUUUUAAAUCUCCAUUUAAAAGGCCUUGUGUCUGAGUCUGAGGUGAUAAGAGGAUAUGAAUACAAGUAUAAAAACAGUGCAAAACGUUUAGCCUGCAGCCUCCAGCGCCGGCGUCGGGAAUCCCCUUUAGUGUUGCUGGGCCAGUGACAUUAAGUAUCGAAUAUUAAAUAUUCCCGGGCUUCCUUUAGCCUAACAUCAGACCCAGAAAUGUAAUCAAAUAAAAAGGUUCAAAAGCCCUAACAACGUAAGCCAUCAAAUCCCCCAGGCCACGGGAUCAGAACAGACUGAGCUUGCAAGGUCUAGAACAUGGCAUCGUGUCAGCGGUGCCCCAAGAAGAAAGAUGGGAGGGAUGUCUGGUGCAUCGGUCACUAGAAUAGACUAAGCUCUGGUUUUAAAGCUUUGCCUUUAAAGUAUGGAUUUUCUAGACGUGAAGGUGCCACCAGGAAGGCUAGAGUGGCAGUAAGUCAAAAGCCCAACUCAGAAAUAGCUGGAAAUAGCCACAACCUCUAAGAAAUUGGUCUCCGUUAACCAUUCCGUCUUUGGCUGCUGCUGCUGCUACAGGAGAGCACUUGGUGCCAACUGAACUGGGGUAACAGUCCAUUAGCAACAGGAUCACAUUUAGCUGGUUUUGCAAAACGUUUCUAUUAAUCACAGCAAACACCCACGAGAACGCAGGAGAUUUUAUUCCGCGCUAAGGUGAGCAGAGCUCUCCUUUCUUCCCUGCAUCACCUUGGCAGUGUUUAAUAUAAAAUGGCAUACUUGCCAGGCUGACGAGAAGACCAGAUUCCAAACAGGUGCUGCGACCAAAAGUCUCUAUCAUCCCUCGCUUGUUUGAGGAAAUUCUCUUUUUUGCAAAGGCAGGGUACCUAAAUAUGGCUAAAAUGAAGUCCUAUAAACCUACUUACCUCGUUUAAAGAGACCCCUAAACGUCACAAAGCAUUGUUAAACAUCCUGGUUAAAACUGUGCUUCUAGAUUUCGUAUUUUUGCUUAUGUUAGUUGAGUUUUGUAAUAAAAAGCUAACGUCCUACCCAAAGGAAAGAGAGUCUCUGAAGCAGAUGGUCGGUAUUACAGAGAAACCGUCCUGGCAUUGUGUUUUCUGGCAGUGGAAGAUUCUAGUAUAGAAAACUUUCUCUUACUAAAAAUAUUAGGAGUACCAAGGGCUAUUGCAUUAGAGGAGGCCUGCAGCAGUCUCUGCUAGGCAGGUGGCACAGUGGAAGACAGCAAUUACUUUAUUCACCAAAGGACAACACUACUUGAAUGGCCAAGGUUCCCAGUAUCCUAAGCAAACACAGCAGAGGCUGAGGUGACAUGAGCGGCAGGGUCCCUAAAACUCACUUAAGGCUUCUUAAUGGUCAUUUCAUUUCAGGUGGGCCCAGCUAUGACCAAAGUACUUUUUGGGUAUCAUUAAAAACAAACAAACAAAAAAACAACAACAAAAAAAAACCCCAACAUUUUAGAUACUGAAGGACCUUCUCCUUUCAUUUGAUCCUGAUCGUCAACUAUUUUUCCCUUAAAUCUUCCAAAAGGACCCACUUCUCCUUCCCAGAAAUUGUACACAAUGGCGUGGCCGAAAUGGAGGAGGUCAGAACGUAGAUCAUUUGCCGAGCUCCGUAUCCCUAUGUUUACUAACAGGCUGAGGAAGUGGAGGGGAGGGUGGGGGAGGAAAGGGAACUAUGCUGGGGGUGGCGGAGGGCCUGCCCUCAUGGCCAACAAACUGCCGGCUCAUAGGUUUGCAGAGCACUGUCCCCACGGCUAUCAUCAUCGUCGUCACCGUCACCACCACCACCACCACCACCACCACCACCACUGGUUUCUCUGGGACUCAGUCGUUCACAAGCCUUGUCCUUUAAAAGGACAAAAUCCCUCAAAUCGUUCCGGGUCAUAAACAGAUGUAAGAAUCUAGAAGUGCAGACUUAGGAGGGUGUCCCAGGGCCUAGAGAAACCCUGCUCCCAGACGGCCCCUUGUUGGUUGCAAAUACUUCAGUAGGCUUCUACCCCCACACAGCUACUGCACUUUUCAAACCCUUGGGCUUGCUCCUGCAUAUGCCAAUCGCGAAGACCUCAAGGAACUGAAAACAAGCACCAUGAUUGAACCAGCCAGAAUCCUAUAGAAGGAGUCCUCCCACAGGGGAGGGAAUCUGAGUGGGGCCCCCGCAGGUAAGCCAUGGGGGGAGGGGGGCGUGAUAAAACCGGCAGUCGUUCCUAGCUCUCCCACCUGAUCGUGGUCUUCUGGGUACCACUCAUCUUUAUCGUGUCCUGUUUUGAUGGCUGUUAAAGAUUCGGCAAGAGGCUAAAAUCACUGUCUUAUUGUUCCUAGGAAUUUUUAUCAUCUAAUGUUAGGAGAUCAGAGUUGGCGGUACAUCUGGCAUCCAAGAGACCGCAACUAGGGAUUCCUGGCCGCAUGUGCUGGCCCUGACCUUAUUCCUCUCUUAUCACAAACCUAGCAGCAAGGAACUCGUUCUGUGGGAUCCAACGUUAAUUCCAAAUGAAUGCUUGACUCUGGGCCAGAGCAAGGGCAUCACUGGAGAAACCGCAGACUGCUAACAUCCCCAGACUUGCUCUUUGGCUCAUCCCAGUGGAAUACGGAGCCUCUCACUGGUUAAACAAUCCAUCUCUGGGGAGAGCAGCGACAAGCCUGUAUAAAAAUGUGGUGAGUGUCUGGAGGACAGCUUUGUUUCGCAGCAGGACUAGGGAUGGUGCCAGCCACCGAGGGUAGAGUUGCAGGAAGUAGCAGUACUUCCUCGCAACACGUAUGAACUUCUUACGACAGCAGCAUGCACGCACAGACUGAAACAGCUGGCAGUAUUUCCCCUACAUUAAGCUAUAAACCAAAGCAAAUUUAGGGACUCAUGAAUUUUCUUUGGGAUUGCAAAAUUAGUACGUGUAUAAAACCAAAUAUUUCAAGAGGGUAUUUUCCCCAUCCAAAAGUGCCUCAUCUUACCUCUAUGGCAGAACAGACCCGUUCUCUACAAAUAUUUAAUCUUUCAUAUGUUUUCAGUUUUAAGAUAUGAUUAAAAUAACAUGAUCUUAGAAAGAGCCAGGGAAGAACCAUAAGCCAUGAAUUAGCGGAAAGCACAUAUACCCUGUUUUUUCUCCCCAAGCGAGAUUUCUAGGGAAAGGUCAAUGAGAAGUCAUGUGCAAGGAUUGACCUCUUGGUCAAUCAACUUCUCAGAGAGUUUGUGCCAGAAAACUGGUUUUUGCAACCGAGUGCUGAAACUGACGGCGUUUGCAUUACUUCCUGGGGGUGCGGGGGGAUAAUCAAGCCCUUGAUUAUUAAUCAGCCACAUUACCCAGGAGCGAGAGUGAAGUGCUCCCCACAGAGGUGUCUGUUCUCCUCUUCCAGCCUCAUCCUAAGUGUGCUAGCACCUUCCCAGGUGAAACACGGAAAGAGGAAAUAAACAGUAAUGCCUAUUGGAGUUUGGAGCUAUUUAGUGUAAAUCCAAACAAUAAAUAUAGAAACAAAGAGAUAAACAUAAGGACUCAUCACCUAAACUCACAACCACUGUAUUAUCCUACCAAUAAUCGUAGCUUAUCGACUGCGCCUUCAGGAUCAGGGGACGGUGUGCAUCCAUCCGACCAUCCUGUCUGAGUAGUUAACGUCUCAUACUUCAGAAAGAGAGAUUCCCGCAACUGUACAAUGUGGUAUCGCAGGAUCUUUCACUCUGAAAUGCUGAAAAUGGAUUACUCUGGUAGUUUUGGCUUCAGUACUCUGACCUACAAACAUUUCUCUCGGUCUUUGAGUUUUCCUAAUAAUACUUCAUCCCUCUUGGGUGCUGCAGUCACUUCCCAGUGCUUCCCACAUACCACGUCCCUCGCAUGACCCUCAUGCCGGUGAGGUGGCCGGGGCCGGCAUCAGCACCCCGCUUAUAGAUGAACCUGAGACUUGGGGAAGCGACUCAACUGAGGGUCACAUGGCUAUCAAGAACUGAAAGAGGGACUGGAAACCCUCCUGAUGCAAACUCUUUCUCCCCUAACUAAUGGAUGGGCAUUGCUUCUACCAAUCUGUGCACUAGCAAUCCACAUCCUUUUCCACUCCUGGUGACUGAGUUAACAAGGUGACUGGAAAAGAAUGGCUCUACUUUCACUGCUUUGAUAUAAAAAUCUCUUAAGUUGAAGUCAGAAAAAUUCAUUUCUUCCCAGUCCAGUGUCUAAACCUGAGCGUGGCCCUAUAUAGCCUUUUAAGAAACUGGGGAUAAAAAUGAACAUCCUGCGCGGACACUGAAGUGUUCGAUGGAUGG